rnacentral:rRNA from 1 species
AGAGUUUGAUCAUGGCUCAGGAUGAACGCUGGCGGCGUGCCUAACACAUGCAAGUCGAGCGAUCUUCUUCGGAAGAGAGCGGCGGACGGGUGAGUAACGCGUGGGUAACCUGCCUCAUACACAUGGAUAACAUACCGAAAGGUAUGCUAAUACAAGAUGAUAUAAGAGAUUCGCAUGGAUUUCUUAUCAAAGCUCCGGCGGUAUGAGAUGGACCCGCGUCUGAUUAGCUAGUUGGUAAGGUAACGGCUUACCAAGGCGACGAUCAGUAGCCGACCUGAGAGGGUGAUCGGCCACAUUGGAACUGAGACACGGUCCAAACUCCUACGGGAGGCAGCAGUGGGGAAUAUUGCACAAUGGGCGAAAGCCUGAUGCAGCAACGCCGCGUGAGCGAUGAAGGCCUUCGGGUCGUAAAGCUCUGUCCUCAAGGAAGAUAAUGACGGUACUUGAGGAGGAAGCCCCGGCUAACUACGUGCCAGCAGCCGCGGUAAUACGUGGGGGGCUAGCGUUAUCCGGAUUUACUGAGCGUAAAGGGUGCGUAGGUGGUUUCUUAAGUCAGGAGUGAAAGGCUACGGCUCAACCGUAGUAAGCUCUUGAAACUGGGAAACUUGAGUGCAGGAGAGGAAAGUGGAAUUCCUAGUGUAGCGGUGAAAUGCGUAGAUAUUAGGGGGAACACCAGUAGCGAAGGCGGCUUUCUAGGCUGUAACUGACACUGAGGCACGAAAGCGUGGGGAGCAAACAGGAUUAGAUACCCUGGUAGUCCACGCCGUAAACGAUGAGUACUAUGUGUCGGGGGUUACCCCCCUCGGUGCCGCAGCUAACGCAUUAAGUACUCCGCCUGGGGAGUACGCUCGCAAGAGUGAAACUCAAAUGAAUUGACGG